GCGCUCUUAGCUCAGCUGGAAGAGCAAUUGGUUUACACCCAAUAGGUCGGCGGUUCGAGCCCGUCAGAGCGCACCA
rnacentral:tRNA from 3 species